CACGGGGGGAGCAAGCGUUGUUCGGAAUCACUGGGCGUAAAGGGCGUGUAGGCGGUCAAGUAAGUGGAAUGUGAAAUCCCCCGGCUUACCCGGGGACCGGCAUCCCAUACUGCUUGGCUUGAGUACGGGAGAGGAUGUGGGAAUUCCUGGUGUAGCGGUGAAAUGCGUAGAUAUCUGGAGGAACACCGGUGGCGAAGGCGGCAUCCUGGACCGACACUGACACUGAGGAGCGAAAGCCAGGGGAGCAAACGGG
rnacentral:rRNA from 1 species